rnacentral:tRNA from 1 species
GCUGAUAUGGCUCAGUUGGUAGAGCGCACCCUUGGUAGGGUGAGGUCCCCAGUUCGACUCUGGGUAUCAGCACCA